rnacentral:rRNA from 1 species
UAAACGACUCUCGGCAACGGAUAUCUCGGCUCACGCAUCGAUGAAGAACGUAGCAAAAUGCGAUACUUGGUGUGAAUUGCAGAAUCCCGUGAACCAUCGAGUUUUUGAACGCAAGUUGCGCCCGAAGCCUUUUGGCCAAGGGCACGUCUGCCUGGGUGUCACGC